rnacentral:rRNA from 1 species
CCCUGGCUCAGGACGAACGCUGGCGGCGUGCCUAAUACAUGCAAGUCGAGCGGGGUUGUUUUAGAAGCUUGCUUCUAAAACAACCUAGCGGCGGACGGGUGAGUAACACGUAGGCAACCUGCCCAUCAGACUGGGAUAACUACCGGAAACGGUAGCUAAUACCGGAUACAUCCUUUCCCUGCAUGGGGAGGGGAGGAAAGACGGAGCAAUCUGUCACUGAUGGAUGGGCCUGCGGCGCAUUAGCUAGUUGGUGGGGUAAUGGCCUACCAAGGCGACGAUGCGUAGCCGACCUGAGAGGGUGAUCGGCCACACUGGGACUGAGACACGGCCCAGACUCCUACGGGAGGCAGCAGUAGGGAAUCUUCCGCAAUGGGCGAAAGCCUGACGGAGCAACGCCGCGUGAGUGAUGAAGGUUUUCGGAUCGUAAAGCUCUGUUGCCAGGGAAGAACGUCUUGUAGAGUAACUGCUACAAGAGUGACGGUACCUGAGAAGAAAGCCCCGGCUAACU